rnacentral:snoRNA from 1 species
UCACAAUGAUGAAUGGUCCAGACAUUCACAGUUUCCACCAGAAUUCCAGAUGUGUUGGCAACUAGCUUCCUUCCUUGGAUGUCUUAGUGA